rnacentral:rRNA from 1 species
AAAUUGAAGAGUUUGAUCAUGGCUCAGAUUGAACGCUGGCGGCAGGCCUAACACAUGCAAGUCGAACGGUAACAGGAAGCAGCUUGCUGCUUCGCUGACGAGUGGCGGACGGGUGAGUAAUGUCUGGGAAACUGCCUGAUGGAGGGGGAUAACUACUGGAAACGGUGGCUAAUACCGCAUAACGUCGCAAGACCAAAGAGGGGGACCUUCGGGCCUCUUGCCAUCAGAUGUGCCCAGAUGGGAUUAGCUUGUUGGUGAGGUAACGGCUCACCAAGGCGACGAUCCCUAGCUGGUCUGAGAGGAUGACCAGCCACACUGGAACUGAGACACGGUCCAGACUCCUACGGGAGGCAGCAGUGGGGAAUAUUGCACAAUGGGCGCAAGCCUGAUGCAGCCAUGCCGCGUGUAUGAAGAAGGCCUUCGGGUUGUAAAGUACUUUCAGCGGGGAGGAAGGUGUUGUGGUUAAUAACCGCAGCAAUUGACGUUACCCGCAGAAGAAGCACCGGCUAACUCCGUGCCAGCAGCCGCGGUAAUACGGAGGGUGCAAGCGUUAAUCGGAAUUACUGGGCGUAAAGCGCACGCAGGCGGUCUGUCAAGUCGGAUGUGAAAUCCCCGGGCUCAACCUGGGAACUGCAUUCGAAACUGGCAGGCUUGAGUCUUGUAGAGGGGGGUAGAAUUCCAGGUGUAGCGGUGAAAUGCGUAGAGAUCUGGAGGAAUACCGGUGGCGAAGGCGGCCCCCUGGACAAAGACUGACGCUCAGGUGCGAAAGCGUGGGGAGCAAACAGGAUUAGAUACCCUGGUAGUCCACGCCGUAAACGAUGUCUACUUGGAGGUUGUGCCCUUGAGGCGUGGCUUCCGGAGCUAACGCGUUAAGUAGACCGCCUGGGGAGUACGGCCGCAAGGUUAAAACUCAAAUGAAUUGACGGGGGCCCGCACAAGCGGUGGAGCAUGUGGUUUAAUUCGAUGCAACGCGAAGAACCUUACCUGGUCUUGACAUCCACAGAAGAAUCCAGAGAUGGAUUUGUGCCUUCGGGAACUGUGAGACAGGUGCUGCAUGGCUGUCGUCAGCUCGUGUUGUGAAAUGUUGGGUUAAGUCCCGCAACGAGCGCAACCCUUAUCCUUUGUUGCCAGCGGUCCGG